GAUUGCUGUUUAUUCUAUUUC
rnacentral:miRNA from 1 species